rnacentral:tRNA from 1 species
UCCUUGGUGGCUCAGAGGUUAAAGCAUCUGCCUGCAAUGCUGGAGACCUGGGUUCAAUUCCUGGGUCGGGAA